GACGAACGCUGGCGGCGUGCUUAACACAUGCAAGUCGAACGGGUCUGCCCUGUUUUUUGCGGGGUGGGUCAGUGGCGAACGGGUGAGUAACACGUGAGUAACCUGCCCCUCACUUCUGGAUAACCGCUUGAAAGGGUGGCUAAUACGGGGUGUUCUGGCUGUGCCGCAUGGUGUGGCUGGGAAAGAUUCACUUUUGUGGUGUUUUGGUGGGGGAUGGGCUCGCGGCCUAUCAGCUUGUUGGCGGGGUGAUGGCCUGCCAAGGCUUUGACGGGUAGCCGGCCUGGGAGGGUGGGCGGUCACAGUGGGACUGAGAUACGGUCCAGACUGCUGCGGGAGGCAGCAGUGGGGGGUAUUGAACAAUGGGCGGAAGCCUGAUGCAGCGACGUCGCGGGAGGGAUGGAGGCCUUCGGGUUGUGAACCUCUUUCGCCGGUGAAGAAGGUCCUGCUCUUUGUGGUGGGGUUGACGGUAGCCGGGUUAUGAAGCGCCGGCUAACUACGUG
rnacentral:rRNA from 1 species